UGCAGUCGUCCUAGAUAACAGGACCGCUCAGCCAGAGAAGAAACCAAUCUCCACUGCGCAGCAGGCAAAGCAGGCAUUAUGAAUUUUGAACAAGUUACGCCAAAAAUUUCAUUGGCCGCUUUACGCGCUUUAAAUGAAUUAAACAACAAGCAUGGUAUUCAUAUAAUCUACAAUGCGGAAAGAACCGUGAACAACAAAGAAGAAAAAACCUGUAUAAAGCCUUUUCCAGGAUACAACAUACAGCACUUGGUGCGCUUCGUGAAACCUCAGAAAAGGUGUGGAGCGAGUGCAUUCGCCACUACUACACGUUCUGCACUCCCCCGGUGGUCAUGUUCAACUACGACACGAAACAGAGUGCGUGCGUUCCAACAACAGCGGUCAGCUAUGCAACCACGGCGCCAACCUAUUCGGUAGCAAGAAACCGUGACUGGGGAACUGCUUGCAGCCCAACCGUGUCUACGGCAUGUUCUUCGGGAAGGCCCUCUUGCAGUCG